CUCAGAUUGAACGCUGGCGGCAGGCCUAACACAUGCAAGUCGAGCGGUAGCACAGAGAGCUUGCUCUCGGGUGACGAGCGGCGGACGGGUGAGUAAUGUCUGGGAAACUGCCUGAUGGAGGGGGAUAACUACUGGAAACGGUAGCUAAUACCGCAUAAUGUCGCAAGACCAAAGUGGGGGACCUUCGGGCCUCAUGCCAUCAGAUGUGCCCAGAUGGGAUUAGCUAGUAGGUGGGGUAACGGCUCACCUAGGCGACGAUCCCUAGCUGGUCUGAGAGGAUGACCAGCCACACUGGAACUGAGACACGGUCCAGACUCCUACGGGAGGCAGCAGUGGGGAAUAUUGCACAAUGGGCGCAAGCCUGAUGCAGCCAUGCCGCGUGUGUGAAGAAGGCCUUCGGGUUGUAAAGCACUUUCAGCGGGGAGGAAGGCGAUAAGGUUAAUAACCUUGUCGAUUGACGUUACCCGCAGAAGAAGCACCGGCUAACUCCGUGCCAGCAGCCGCGGUAAUACGGAGGGUGCAAGCGUUAAUCGGAAUUACUGGGCGUAAAGCGCACGCAGGCGGUCUGUCAAGUCGGAUGUGAAAUCCCCGGGCUCAACCUGGGAACUGCAUUCGAAACUGGCAGGCUAGAGUCUUGUAGAGGGGGGUAGAAUUCCAGGUGUAGCGGUGAAAUGCGUAGAGAUCUGGAGGAAUACCGGUGGCGAAGGCGGCCCCCUGGACAAAGACUGACGCUCAGGUGCGAAAGCGUGGGGAGCAAACAGGAUUAGAUACCCUGGUAGUCCACGCCGUAAACGAUGUCGAUUUGGAGGUUGUGCCCUUGAGGCGUGGCUUCCGGAGCUAACGCGUUAAAUCGACCGCCUGGGGAGUACGGCCGCAAGGUUAAAACUCAAAUGAAUUGACGGGGGCCCGCACAAGCGGUGGAGCAUGUGGUUUAAUUCGAUGCAACGCGAAGAACCUUACCUGGUCUUGACAUCCACAGAACUUAGCAGAGAUGCUUUGGUGCCUUCGGGAACUGUGAGACAGGUGCUGCAUGGCUGUCGUCAGCUCGUGUUGUGAAAUGUUGGGUUAAGUCCCGCAACGAGCGCAACCCUUAUCCUUUGUUGCCAGCGGUCCGGCCGGGAACUCAAAGGAGACUGCCAGUGAUAAACUGGAGGAAGGUGGGGAUGACGUCAAGUCAUCAUGGCCCUUACGACCAGGGCUACACACGUGCUACAAUGGCAUAUACAAAGAGAAGCGACCUCGCGAGAGCAAGCGGACCUCAUAAAGUAUGUCGUAGUCCGGAUUGGAGUCUGCAACUCGACUCCAUGAAGUCGGAAUCGCUAGUAAUCGUAGAUCAGAAUGCUACGGUGAAUACGUUCCCGGGCCUUGUACACACCGCCCGUCACACCAUGGGAGUGGGUUGCAAAAGAAGUAGGUAGCUUAACCUUCGGGAGGGCGCUUACCACUUUGUGAUUCAUGACUGGGGU
rnacentral:rRNA from 1 species